UCUCUGUCUCCCUCACUCCCCUCUCUAUCUCCCUCUCUCACACACGACAAACACGCACACACUCUCCUUUCUCUGUCAUGGUCUCUUGCUCUCUCUCACCCUCUCUCUUGCGCUCCCUCUACCUUGCUCUCUUCUGUGCUGUAAGUUCAUUCGCUGUGUCAAGCAACAACUGGCUCGGGAGUGAGAAGUGGGCUUUUGAUCCUCUUUAUCGAGCAUCCCAGUGAGGAUGCAGCAUCUGCAUCCACCUGUACACCCUGGGACUGCCUCGCUGCCUCAUCGCCUCUCUCUCUCUCUCUCCGUGGCUCUCUAACUGUAUCGGAGGCACUGCGGAAAGCUGGUGCUCUGCUAUCCUGACCAUAUCACAGGCAGAAAUCUCACGCAGCAGACGCUCUGCAGGAGACAGACAACUGGACCUGAGGGCUGGGAGGCAGGAGCGAUUCAGUGGGAUUUUGCAUGUGGCAUAGAGAUGGGGAGCAGCUCAUGCGUUGGUGCUGGAGGAACACAGCAUGAGCCGGGCGUUUAAAACCUCGGCGGUCCAGAAAGACCAUUGAUGGGGCCUUGCCUUGUGCCGCAAAUCAUCUUCAAUCAAUUGUUUUGAAAGGCCUUGGCGUUUGCCAAACGGCUGAGGACAAUGCUUGCAAUUCCGCUAUUGCUUUCUCCUUAGAAAGACUCUCUUCGGUGACGGGUAUUCUUGGGUGGAUAAUACGGAUCACGUUGUUAUUGCUUAAGAAUACGCGUAGUCGAGGAGAGUCAUGUCGGCGGUGACGGCAGGGGACUAGAGAGAGCACAGAGGCCAGAGAGCCCACCUGCCCACCACACACACACACACACACACACACACACACACACUACCAAAGCUCAAUCUCAGGUCAUUUAACAAGCAAGCAGACAGAUCUUGUGUUUCUGUGUGUGAUAUAUGUGUUGCUGAGUCUCUAUAGAUGGGGCUUGUUCACCAUGUAGCCUUAUUCCUUGACAAAAUGAAUAUCUGUUUGAUGUAAAAUUGCAUUGAUUUUAAAGCACCUGUGUUCAUUCUGCCCAGCAUUUUUAUCUGUACAUAAACUUACAGACUAAAUUUUUGUUUUAUUCUUAGGAAUGUUCUUAUCCCUGUUUGUAUUGGUAAAAGGAGUAGCAUAAUCAGGGUGGUUAUGUAGGUCUGUAGAUGGCAAUGCACAUAGUCUACGGCAUUUAUUAUCUGUCCUUAGGACCACACACUCUUCACUUCCCACUCCACCUUUUUUCAUGCAAAUUGAUUUAGAAAUGACAUUUAUCGUGUGGGGUUUCCACAUGGAAGCCUACCGCACCACGAGAGCUGACAAAAAAAUGUCCACCAAGCCAACGACAGCUCAAUUUAUGCGCUCGGAGGAAGAGUGAGUGGAAGAGAACACACAGCAGAUAAACAAUUACCACAGCCUUAGAUUGACUAGAGCUCUGCUUUCUAUGUAGCCGCACACAUAUCAUGAAUAUGUAUCAGUCACCGCAUAUGAUGGUGCAUUCUAAAGUCUAACACCCAUGAAAAUCCAUUUAAGCAGCAUAAUAGGAUCUACUUGAUCUACUUGACAUGCUAAAUCUUAUAAAUAUACAUGAGAUUAUUUUUUUGGCAGGAAUGUAUUUUUCCUUAUUUUUAAAUUGCAAGCAAAAAAAAAAACAAGGAUAUGUUAUUCUGAGAGGAAUAAAAUGUGGAUGUAUUAACAGGGAGUUUUUUAAAAUCAGCAAACAGUCCAAUUUACUGUUAAUUAUCAUUAAGCACAUUGAAAUGACACAUUAGCAUUUCAGACAGACUAAAGAAAACAAUUCAGUGGCUCUCCUCUUGAUCACCCUGUAAUUAUCAUUCUUUUGGCUGUGCUUUAAUGAACAGAGAGUGGAGAAAAGCUUGUAAGUACAUGUUAUGGCCUUUUACCACUAGGGUACCUAGGGUACCACACAACUGAAAAAUUAUAUGUCUGCUUCACUAUAUUUUCUGCUUCCUGGCAUAAAUAUAGGUUUGUUUUAAGUGGGGAUGUUAAUUAAUUGUAAAAGGCUUUAUUUAACUUAACAAGAGAUUCGCUUUUUACAUCUUCUGGUUUAAAAAGAAUGCUGCAGUGCUUUAUUAUGUGCUCUUUUACUACAUUAAGCCAUUUCAGGGAGUAUUAAUAAAAGCAAAUUAUAUUUACAGUGAAAUUUGUCGUAUAUAAAAUAAUCAUUGAGACUGUAAUAUCUAACAGAAACGAUAAAUUAUAUGCUAGGUCCUUUUUAAUAAUCCCACACUAUAAAUACCCCAAACAUGCAGUGUUUAAUAAAUAACGCUAGAAAAUAAUUCUUAAUAUUCCAAAUCAUCUGAAUUAAAAGGAUAUAACAGCAUGCAGGCUGCAACAACAGACAAAAAAAAGCACUGAGCUGAGAUUCCCCUCCCCCUAAGCCACUGUAAUAUCCAUCUUUUAUUGAUUAUCUCUGCUACUGAUUAUAUUCUUAAUAAUUUGGGCAUUAUAUCAUAUUCAUUACAUUAAUCAAAAUUCUCCACUGAAAAAUAUUCUAGUAAAGAAUAUGCAUUAUACUAUUAUGAUGUAAUUUACAUUGAUUAAAAUGUUUUAAUAGGACAAUUUUGCUUGUUGUGGAUUCCGAUUUUAUUUAAUAUUGUUGAUAAAUAACCUGAAUGAGAAGUGUAAUGAUAUCACUUGGCCUCUUCUGCUGGCAUUAUUCAAAUGACCUCAAGUCUGUAGAAUACUGUGUUUAUAUACCGCAAGCAUCCUCAAACAGAAUGUACUUUAAUGCCUUUUAUAUUUAUAUGUUUAUAUUUUCCUGCUUUUAUAAAUAAAGCUGUAUUUAAGUGAAA